GAGUGUCUCCUCUUGUUCCAGACCGAGGUCAUGUUCGGACGACUGGCCCUCCUGCUACUCUGGGUCGCAGCCAGCCGCACCAAAGGAUCGGAAGAAAAUGACGUCACGCCCGGCCUGCGAAGCGGAAUCUUAUUCCAGCCGAAGGGACCAUUGGUGUUGGCCACCGGAACCUGGACAGCAAUAGUGAGAUUUCAGCAAGAGGACGUCGAAAGGCAAUCAAAUCAAAUCCGGGAGCAAUUCACCAAAAUUGAUAGGGCUUUAGAGAACAGCGGCGAAUUUGAAGCGAACCAGACGGCCGAAGAACAGAGAACCCAACAAUUUAUCAGAGAAAUGAAAGCCAUGUGGAAUCAAGAGCGUACCUGGAUGGAGGCUGAGCUAAGGGCUGGUGAAGUUGAAAUCCAGGAACUCAGGACGGAAUUGAGACUCAGUCGCCGAGCCAGGGGACUGAUUAACGCCCUUGGCGACGGUUUAAAAUGGUUGUUUGGCACCGCCACGGAAACUGAUGUCCAAAAACUGCACAAACAAAUCGAAGGAAUCACGGCCGGCGUGGGAAAACUUCAUCAUAUUGCUGAACUACAAACCACCUUAAUCGGAGAAAUUUCAAAGCGUCAGAAGAACAACGACAAACACUUAGUGACGCUAGCCAGAAAGGCCAUCGAGCUGGAGUCACUCUUUACAGUUACGAGAGAUGCCGACCACAUUACCAUGCGGAAUAUUCGUCGAGAGCUCGAUUUCGGCCACGCGAUCUCCUCUGCCAUCCGUACCGCAAGCGCCGCUGUGAUGACUUUUCACCACGAAGUGAGGCAAAUCAGCCGGGCGAUGGCGCACACUCAACAAGGAGUGGUAACGCCGGCCAUUUUGUCGCCCGCAACGCUGAAGACCACCAUGGCGGCCAUCACUAAUCACCUGCCUGAUGGGUGGGUGCCAGCCAUCUCGCUCUCAGAAACACCGGCAAACAUCUACAAGUUCUUAGAAAUUUCCGCGGUGGCGCUUGAAGACGGCUGGGAAGUGCAUAUCCAAAUCCCGCUCCAAUACCGGCCAUAUGGACAAUACCAUCUCUUUAAGGUCAACUCCAUCCCUACACACUUCUCCAAUUCCUCAAUUGCCCUAGAAGCCCAAGUCCCCUACCCAUAUUUCGCAAUAUCGAAGGACCAGCGCCUACACAUUGAAUUGUCGGCAGAAGAAAUUAGCCGUUGCCGCCACGUCGGUGGGCGAACGAUGUGCAACAAGCUUACACCUCUCAUCAAGGAGAAGAGAGAGGGUUGUCUAUACCAUGCUUUCCGGGACGAAGAAAGCAAGGUUGAGGAAGAAUGCGUGCGGAAAAUGAUAAAACCGAAACCGCAAAUAUACCCCGUAGCGGACAACAAAUGGCUUUAUGUACUACCAACCGAGGAGUUAUUCUCUAUGCAAUGUGCCGGAGAAGGAAUGCCAACCAAAGGGUUCCGGUUACAAGGAACAGGUAUUUUCUCCCUUCCGGCCAGCUGCACUGCGAUGGGAGACCAUUACAUCAUCCCAGCUCAUCUGAAAAGGCAAGGCGACACCCCAGCUGAGAUGAAAUUGACUGACAUGACUCACUUCAAGAUUGAACUGAAACCAAGUACUUUCCAAAACUACAUUUCUACCAAAGGAAGGAUAAACCAAACAGAACUAAAUGAAAUUCUUGAAGCAGCCAAAGAGACGGAUCGAGAAGAUUCAAUGCUGACAGAGCUGAAAGAAACAAUGAAGAACUGGAACGAAUCCCCGGACACAGAAGGGAUAUCCUUCAAGUUAAUCAACCACACCUCCCUAACCCUCGGAGGAGUCGCCCUGCUUGGGGUGCUCGGCCUGCUUGCCUACAACUGCAGCCGAAACAGACGACCACAGAGUACCAUCAUCCAACCCUGCCAAAAUCCCGACCUGCCCAUCCCAUCUGCCCCUCUCCUGCCCGAUCCCAGCCAGAUAUCACAACUCCAAUCCCGGAUCCACCACCUGGAAGUAAUCACAACGGACCUGCAAUGUCGCAUGGAGAAGACGGCGCAACUCGAAAUCGCCCUCGCUAAGCUGAAAAAACAACACGAUGAGCUGACCGCCCUUCUCUAAGUCCAAACCGGACAGAGAACGGGCCGGUAACCGACACGGAUGCAGGCCGACCCAGAUGAGAACGGGACGCGGAAGGACGACUACAAACUCGAUGAACGGCCAGGACGACUACACGACAACUAGCAGGGAUAUCAAUCACGAGCGGCUGAGGUGGACCGAGCGGCUGUCUCAAAAAGCCACUCACCACCACUCGGCUACAACAACCGGUGGACGACUACACUCUAUGGUGGACCGACUACACAACCGUCGGACUGAUCCAGAUGGGAACGAGGAAGGAGGACGACUACAAACCCGGUGAACGGCCAGGACGACUACACGACAACUAGCAGGGACAUCAAUCACGAGCGGCUGAGGUGGACCGAGCGGCUGUCUCAAAAGCCACUCACCACCACUCAGCUACAACAACCGGUGGACGACUACACUCACCGACUACUGAGGUGGACCGACUACACAACCGCCAGACUGAUCCAGAUGGGAACGGGGAAGGAGGACGACUCCAAACCCGGUGAACGGCCAGGACGACUACACGACAACUAGCAGGGACAUCAAUCACGAGCGGCUGAGGUGGACCGAGCGGCUGCCUCAAAAAGCCACUCACCACCACUCGGCUACAACAACCGGUGGACGACUACACUCUAUGGUGGACCGACUACACAACCGUCAGACUGAUCCAGAUGGGAACGAGGAAGGAGGACGACUACAAACCCGGUGAACGGCCAGGACGACUACACGACAACUAGCAGGGACAUCAAUCACGAGCGGCUGAGGUGGACCGAGCGGCUGUCUCAGAAAGCUACUCACCACCACUCGGCUACGGCAGCCGUGGACAACGACCGGUGGACGACUUCACGCUAUUGGUGGACAGACCAACUCAAUUCAUCAGGUAACGCUGUCACACCGACGGCGAGCCUGGAAUGACAGCGGGCGAUAUACUAAACGAGUAAGCUUGGCCCAGUGUAUGUGUAUAUAGUAUGUGUAUAUAGUAUGUGUAUGUGCUAGUUUAUGCUUAAAGACUGCUGUAGGAAUUGGGGAUGGCCGCAGCGGGCCUAAACCUGCUACACAGCAAGGGUAGAUCGAGAAUCGCGCGGAUGUGUGAUUUAUGCGACCGAUGUUUGAAUGUGUGGGGUUAAUUGGUUAGUAGGGAUAAGUAAAACAUGUAAAAGUCAGUCCCGGGGACGCCCCAUGCUCAUCCUAUACUUCCUACCCAGCCAAGCACUCAUGUCAAAUAGCCGCCAAUCCUUAAGACCCCGGCCACUCGCUCUCACCACAGCAGUCACCAGGACUACAGCGACAAUGGCAACGGCAGAAGCAGACUCCCGCCCGUCUAGUCGCGGGGCGCGACUAUAAAAAAGAGAUCUGAAAAUGUAACGCAGAUGCGCCACAUUUUUUUUUCUUCUUCAAUUUGAACAAGUCAGCCGUGCCACAAGCAAAAGUGCAAUCAUUGACCAGAUCGCAGGACGGCCGACCGCGCGCCGGGCGCCGGGCGCCGGCGCACUCAGGCCGGCCCAAAAACAGCAGCUGCACCCGACUCGGACGAAAAUAGGCAGAGGCUGGGACCGGGAACGCGGAUGCCGAUCAGCCAUGUCGUCCGAUGAAUGGAGAGCCGGGCUGUGCACGCAAACAAAGUCAUUUGACCCCCUGACCGUCGGCCUCAAAACCAUCUGGCGCACCGCACAGACACGGUCAGUCGGCUCAAUCGGCGGCGAUACCUAUUUGCGUCGCAGACCGGCGUACACAAGGGGUGCAGCCGGCUUUGACAACAAAGCUCCGCUGUGGAAUACCACCCCCAAUUCGUGAGAACCAGGAUCUGAAGUCGACAAAUAGCAUGCCGGAGCACACCACCUGCCAGUGGCGAGUCAUUUAUCAGUUGACCCUUUGGAAAACAGGACUUGGUCCCACGCUCGGCACCCCGAUGGGGACAUUUAUCAAGCGGACCAUUACUGACAGAAGCCAAACAAGAGAAAGGGCGCAGCUGUCGACCUGGACUUCAGCGGGGCACCAAACAAGGGGAGCGGAGAAACGACCCACAUUUCCGAUACAAUUAACCAGGAAUCUGGGAAAAGAGAGUGGCUCGCCCCAGGGCUGCUGAGAGGACCGUCAAUACUACACCCUGAGGGGAUGCACAGCCACCGCCAUCAAAUCACGAGGAACUGGGGCGGUGCUUCAAGCCGAAGAAGACAUCGCAUUGGUUCGAGGGCGGUACCUAUGUCCCUUCACCAAAUUUACUCCGCCCACCAAACUGGACCGCUGAAAUGACGUCACCAGGAGUAUUUAAACUAGAGCAAGAAAGAAAAAGGGUCACUCUCGGUGACGAUCUACCUGGGCGGCGGGAGUGCCACUAGUAGCAGCCGACGACGCAGCAGCAGCCUACUCUCUUCAAGGAGGUGGCCUGGAUCAAGGUGGACACGCAGACGAUCCUGACGAUCGGCAGCCACCUGAUCACGCGCGACUACCAGAUAUCGCUGUCGCAGUCGGACGGCCGCGU